GCAUCUGGAAAGCCAGGCAUGGAAGAAAGAGCACAAUAGCACCAUUUUGGGGCAGGAUACCAGUCAACACCGUGCUGGUCCAGACGGAGAGAACAUGGACACUUUCUCACCCAGUGUGAGCAGAGAUCCUAACACGCAACAGAAGAAUGGAGGCAGUGACGAAGGCAAAGCCUCAGGAAAACAAACCAACGAGAAGAGCUCGAAAAAAUCCCAAACAUGUACCCUUCUUUAGAGACACAGCACUAUGAAUGGGACGCCCAACACCACGUUUUACUUAGUGCCAUAUAAUCCCAUGGUAUUGAGUCUUUAUGAUCACCCUAAGUUCUCUUCCUUGCCUGUUACUGUGAUGAAUCAUAGAAACAACAUAGGGAGAGGGAGAAUAUAUGUUUUGAGGGGAAUGACUGUGUAACUGCAAUCCAUGCCUAUCACUUUGCCUACCGAACAAUCGCCUUUUGUUAUUAUUGUACUGUUUGGCUCCCUUUCAUAACCUAUGUACGACUCGUGUCAACAGUACAGUAAGCAAAAUAUUUCAAAGCGUCAACUGACAAGUGUUUUUCUGAUUCUGACUACCUCGUUCUGGUAGCUUAGCUUGCUAAUGAACACACCACUAAAGAAAGAGAGAACAGCUGUGGGCUCAUGUUUAUUUCCAAACGAUUGGCAGUAAUGAUUGAUCGACAGGAUUGAUCAACUGGCUCUGAACGUUUCAGCAGCUCAUACAAUCAUAAACGACAGAGGGGGGGGAACACGAAGACAAAAUAAAAUAACCUCAGAUAGUCAUCGCAUAACCCUGACAUUUAGAAGUUUGUGAUCAAAAAGUCUCUACAGUCACAAUUGCACUAUUCACAAAGAUUUUACAGUAAUUUUCCAGCAGAGAAUUAGAACAGUGUUUUUAUAGCAGAAGAAGAAAGAGCUAUUCAAAAUCCCAAACGGAUGCUAUUGGACCUGACACCUCAUCUCCUUUACAGUUCCGCUUCACUGUGUUGUCACAGUAGACGAGAGUAAUUGUAAUGCAAUUGGCUAAUCAGUUAUAACCCUCUACAGUCCGCAACGCACUUUAAAACGGUUCAUUCACUCGAUGGCAGUCUAGUCCGGGGUCGUCAGCAGUGCAGUAUUCAGGCAGUGAUGGCCGAGCUCCUUUCCAAACUCCCAGAUAAGAGCUUUUGGAUGGGCCUACGCCCACCUUCUGUACACUGUGAAAGCUAAAUGUAUUCACGCCGCAUGAUCAUGGGAGAAACCGAAAUGCGGCGCGACCCCUGCCAAAGUAAAACUCCCGUCUCCAGCGGUCGCGAUGUAGGUUGCUCGAGAACGAGCUGCCCUUUUCACAUGUUCGAGGAGGGUGUCAGUCACUGUUACCGCUGCGCUCCUCCUCGCUACCCACCACCAUGCUGCUGUACUUCCUCUGCUGCUCCUCUCUAUACGUGUCCUUCACCUUAGCCCUCUUUAGGCCUCCGUCCCUACAGGGGAACAAACACGUGGUCUAGGAGAUACGAACACAAAAUAAUCUGUGUGCAAGAGAUACUGCAAAUGUGUCCAUUCUGAGGUGUAAGAGAUGCAUAGCAGAGGGCCAGUGUGAGACAGUUAGGAUGCCAUUCAUAGUAAGAUGGGAGGAGAUUCUUACCAGGACAGGUCCACUAGUCCCCCCUGAUGUGCGAUGACAGACUUGACUCUGUUGGCAAACUGGACAGCAUCCUCCCCUUCCUGAAAACAUGCAAUAAGUUAGUGGCACUUAGUGAUUAAUUGGUAGGUACUGUGUGUGUGUGUGUGUGUGUGUGUGUGUGUGUGUGUGUGUGUGUGUGUGUGUGUGUGUGUGUGUGUGUGUGUGUGUGUGUGUGUGUGUGUGUGUGUGUGUGUGUGUGUGUGUGUGUGUGUGUGUGGUGUUGUAUACACACCUGUUGGUGCAUGGCUGGCAGGUACCAGACGUUACAGACUAUAGCCCAACUAGUCAUCAUCCUGAGCAGGUAGCUCACCAUGUUGUACUUGGCACUGUUCCAGAACGCAUCGCCAAACUGAGGGUCAUACUGAGGGAGGGAGACAGAAAACCUCUUCAAAUCUAUGCUGACUUUGUCACGCAACUUUUCAUUUGUCACGUCAUCUUUGCAUGAUUUGGGGAAAAGUCAAAUACUGAACAGAAGUACCUUACAGAGUACCUUACCUUGAUGGCUACCGGGUAUAUCGUUCCUCCGAUUUCAAAACUUCCCUUUUUGAACAUCAUGACAGAUGUGUUGUUGAUACAGGUCCCUGAGGAAACCACAAAUAUGGACUGCAGAUAAAACAUAACCAGAACGACCAGAGAUAUAUAAAAGAUCAAAUCAAAUUUCAUUGGUCAGAUAGGAUCUCUAUGAUAACAACAACGCUCUCCAAAAUCACAGAUAAGGGAGAGAAAUGCAUUCUAGCAGAUGCUACUCAUAUGUACAGGUAUAGGAUGACCUUACUGUACAUAACCAAUGCAACACCAAUGCAGCUUAUCCAAACCAAUGCUAAACUCACUGACUUCAUUCUACUCCAUUGUAGCACUUACCUUCUGGAAAGAGCAAUAUAGGAAGCUUAGUCUUGUCAUUCACGUGAUCCCUCAACCUGUAAACAUGAACAACAAUUAGAAAACCUAACUUUAUAUCUGGGAGGAGCGUGAACAUACAUUAUAUGGUUUUAGUUAAAGCUAUGUCCAUACCAGGAAAUCUUAGUAUUAAAUUAUAUCACCAAUUGUCAAAUGGCAAUGACAUUUAUGUCAAAUGGCAAUGUCAUUGGACUGGCAUGAGGGUUUUAUCUGGAUAAGGAAAUAAGAUAGGUAAUUACUUAUGAUUGUAUUUGAUGUGUAUUAUUGCGCUAAACAGGGCUCAUCUGGAAAAUGUAUCUUGGUCUCAGC